rnacentral:tRNA from 1 species
UCCCUAGUGGUCCAGCGGCUAAGACUCUGUGCUCCCAAUGCAGGAGGCCCAGGUUCGAUCCCUGGUUGGGGAA